UUUUUUUUUUUUUUUUUUGCUAUAACUCUAUGUAGCUUCAGCAAUAUUAUCUUGAUGCAGCCAUAGUAAAGUCACGAUGUUUUAUGUUUGUGUAUAUUAUUUUUGCCACCAUUUUACUAACAACUUAUCUGUGUUUUUUUAUCAUCCUGAGCUCCAUGGGUUAUGAUAGAAGCACAUCCUUCAGCAUGUGCUUGGUUCUUGAUUUUUAACCCUUGGGCAAAUGACACUGACUUUAAUUAGGAUCAUUGUCCCAUUCAUAUUUAGCAUCCUAAUUGAUAUCGGCAUGAAUCAUUCUAUUUUGUCUUUGUUCUUUUUUCUUUUUUGUAGAGCUGGUACUAUAUUUAGUGUUUCAUUUCUAUUUAUGCUACCUUGAUUUCUUAACUCUGCUUUUUAGUUAAUGUUUUUAUGUUGCUGUAAAUCUAUUCUUUCUUAAUUCAAUGUUCAUUUUCAGUCAACAUGGUGAUGUUUUAUCCUUACUUUUUAUGUUCACACUUCCAUCUUCUUACUUCACACAUCCAUCUUUACCCUAACACACCCUAUUUUAAACACAAAGACUUUAUGAUAGCAUGGCUAACUUUAUAAGGAAUACACUUACAUCAACUAAAAUGAUGUGUGAAGCAGAUUUAGUCAUGAUGAUGUUAGAAAAAGCAUAUAGAUAUGUAAGUAGCCCCAAUGAAUGUCCAGGGUAACAAAUGAAUGAACUGAUGUGAGUCUUCAGAUGAAAGAACUACUACACCUGAAGAACAGGAGAUAAGAUUUUUGAUGGCUCUUCAGCAGAAUGGACACAUCUAGAGAAAGUAUCAUAAAUUUGAAGACAGAAAUUACCUUAAAAUAAUACAAUUAUAUCAUUAUUAAAGUAAUUAUACUAAAACCUAAGGUAUCAGUGUAUAAAGAAAAAAGGCACCAAGAAGUAAAGCAGGACACCCAAAGUGCCAGACAGUACUUAGCAUCAUACAUGUGUACAUGUGAUCGAAGGAAUAUCAGUUAAUUUUUUUUAGAUAUAAUAAAAGACUUCAAAUUAUUUAAUCACAGAAACUCAGAAAACCAAAGAGAAUGACAAGUGUCUCUUCUUUCUUUAACCUAUACCAUUAGAUAGAUCAUACUUUAAUUGGUAGGAUUCAGAAAAAUCUGAAUAAAAUAGAUGCAUUGCAUAUGUAGAAAAAUUAUCAUGCACCAUGAUCAGAAGCUAUGAAAAGCAGAAAACAAGUCACAUAUAAUUAUAGCAAUUUAAAAAAGAAAACUUUCAAUCUGUUGUGGUUUAGAUCUGAAGAGCAUCCCCAAAACUUUGUCCCCAGCUGCUAUUGGAAGGUGACUGGAUGGUGAAGAUACUGACCUAAUGAAUGGUCCAAAGCCUUGAUGGGUUCAUCAUGGAAUGGAUUAUCAGGAUGUGCUGAAACUGUGAAGUGAUAUGAUGAGUGGAUAAAGUGGGUCACUAGGAGUGUGCUGUUGAAAGGCUUAUGCUGUUCCUGGCUUUGUUCACUUUCUCUUCCUGGCUGCCUGGAAGUGCCCUGCCCUUCUGCCAUGUUUUUAUCUUGCAACAGACCUAAACAAUGAAUUGAGAUGACCAUGAAUGUAAAGCUCUGAGAUUAUGAGAUUAAGUAAAUUAUUUCUUGUUUCCGUGGGUUGUAUUAUUAGCAGUCAAUGCACAUGUCAGAAAUAGGGAUGGAACACAGGCAAAUUCCACAAUAAUGAAUGCUGACAUUCACCAAGAAGACAUGGCAAUCUUAAAUGUAUAUGUGCUCAACUGUUGUGCUUCAAACCCAUGAAGCAACACUGAUAGCAUUGAAAGGGGAAACACAAAACCUACGAUGCUCAAAGAGUCAGCAUGACUACAACCCCCAACUAAAGUAUGAUCAACAUUUAGAACAUGGGAUGUUAUCUUUUAAAGCAGAGGAGAAAUUUUAAAAAUUUAAAGAAAUAAAAAUGAAUUUGUUGUCCACAGACCUGCUUUUUAACACAUUUUUAUGUUUUUUUAAAGACAAAAUAAAUAUUCAUCAGACAGACUAUCAGAGAUACAUCAACAAAGAUCUACAGGAAUGAUAAAAUAUAAUACAAAUACAUUUUUAAAGUGUAAACAUUUAAAAAGGUCAUUGAAUCUUUAGUGCAAAAUUAGUAACAAGUGUGUGUGAAUGGAUACCAUGUUCACAGGUAAGUGUACAAUCAUAGCCUUAGAUCACAUAGGAAGGGGAACAGGAAUUUACAAAUUUAAAUUCCCUAAACGACUGCAAAAAUGUUAUAAUAUUAUUUGAACAUAUGUUAAGUAUAGUGUACUGCGAUUUAAAGCGUAUUCUGUUUACACAGGGCAACUUAUAAUAUUUUAAAGGAAAUAUAAAUAAGAGACCAAACAGUAACGCUGAUAAAUGAAACCCAAAAUACUGAACGCAUCAAAUGCAUGAGGUCAAAUGUGGCACCUAAUCUUACUGGGACAAACUACUAAUUGAGAAUACAUUCUGGCCCAUAAAUCUGUGAUAUCACCAUUAUACUUUAUUCUGAUUUUAGGUUUUUUUUUUUUUUUUUUUUUUUUGUAAGGACAAGUAACCAACUUAUAACCAUCAGACGGAUAAAUUUUAAAUGUCGGUAAACUUUGCAUACUUUUGCACUGGUUAUUAGCUGAUAAUAAAGUUAUAUAAUCAGAAAUAAACAGAAGACAACAAAACCAGAUAUAAACACAAAAUGCAAUUAGCAAGAUGUUAGUGCUUAAUUCAGUCCUAUCAACAACCACCAAGUGUAAAUGGUUUCAAU
rnacentral:lncRNA from 1 species